CGUUAUCNGGAAUUACUNGGGCGUAAAGCGUUCGUAGGCGGUUAGUUAAGUUAGAUGUGAAAGCCCCGGGCUUAACCUGGGAACUGCAUUUAAAACUGGCUAACUCGAGUUUAGGAGAGGGAAGUGGAAUUUCAGGUGUAGCAGUGAAAUGCGUAGAGAUCUGAAGGAACACCAGUGGCGAAGGCGACUUCCUGGACUAAAACUGACGCUGAGGAACGAAAGCGUGGGUAGCAAACGGGAUUAGAUACCCCGGUAGUCCACGCCGUAAACGAUGUCAACUAGCCGUUGGGCCUAUAUACAGGUUUAGUGGCGGAGCUAACGUAUUAAGUUGACCGCCUGGGGAGUACGGCCGCAAGGUUAAAACUCAAAUGAAUUGACGGGGGCCCGCACAAGCGGUGGAGCAUGUGGUUUAAUUCGAUGCAACGCGAAGAACCUUACCUACCCUUGACAUCCAGAGAAUCUGUUAGAGAUAGUAGAGUGCCUUCGGGAACUCUGAGACAGGUGCUGCAUGGCUGUCGUCAGCUCGUGUCGUGAGAUGUUGGGUUAAGUCCCGUAACGAGCGCAACCCUUAUCCUUAGUUGCUAGCAGGUCAAGCUGAGAACUCUAAGGAGACUGCCGGUGAUAA
rnacentral:rRNA from 1 species